rfam:Cerapachys biroi unplaced genomic scaffold scaffold82, whole genome shotgun sequence.
AUAAAUCAUGAUGAUUUAUUACUGCCCCAGUCUGAGAACUGUGACUGAGUUGUAUAUUCUGAUGAA